AUUGAACGCAGGCGGCAUGCCUUACACAUGCAAGUCGAACGGCAGCAUGGAGAGCUUGCUCUCUGAUGGCGAGUGGCGAACGGGUGAGUAAUGCAUCGGAACGUACCGUGUAAUGGGGGAUACCGUAGCGACAGUUACGCUAAUACCGCAUACGACCUGAGGGUGAAAGCAGGGGAUCGCAAGACCUUGCGUUAUACGAGCGGCCGAUGUAAGAUUAGCUAGUUGGGGAGGUGAAGGCUCACCAAGGCGACGAUCUGUAGCGGGUCUGAGAGGAUGAUCCGCCACACUGGGACUGAGACACGGCCCAGACUCCUACGGGAGGCAGCAGUGGGGAAUUUUGGACGAUGGGGGCAACCCUGAUCCAGCCAUGCCGCGUGAGUGAAGAAGGCCUUCGGGUUGUAAAGCUCUUUCGGCCGGGAAGAAAUCGCACAGGCUAAUACUCUGUGUGGAUGACGGUACCGGCAUAAGAAGCACCGGCUAACUACGUGCCAGCCGCCGCCGUAA
rnacentral:rRNA from 1 species